UCGGUGCAACAGACGCGAUUAGUUUAAUUUUUCAACUGGACAUACUUGUAGUGCAAAUUUUGAAGAUUUAGAUUCCAAGCAGAGCUAUUAAGUUUACCAUCAAGAAAAAGACUUAAAUAAUACAGUGUUCCAUAAAUGCAACCUAAAAGGACAUCCCCAAUGGUUUAGUGAUGAAAGAGUGUUAGUGAUAGUGACUAUAAGUGACUAAUCGGAGUUAUGUUGAUUGUCGUCAUCAACUUAGUGACUAAAUUCGUUGAUAUCCGUUGAUUGGUGAGCACCAUUAGAAAUGUUCGGUAAUUUACGUUAUCGUUGUAUUCCUCGAGUGAUAAAGAAUCAAUUGUAAACUCACCAAUUUCGAGUUUCGCGAGUGUAUGUGCCAGGAUAUGGUCGGGAUUCUUCGAGGGAGUUCGUCACUUUGGUUGAAGUUCAAAGAAAAUGGGCCUCCGUAGAGCUAGCAAUCCCAGGCCCCACCAUAAGUA